rnacentral:rRNA from 1 species
AACGAACGCUGGCGGCGCGUCUUAAACAUGCAAGUCGAACGAUCUGUAGCAAUACAGGGAGUGGCGGACGGGUGAGGAACACGUAGGAAUCUACCUAGAAGAGCGGGACAACUUUGGGAAACCGGGGCUAAUACCGCAUAGUACAGAGAUGUUAAAGGGCUAGCAAUAGUCGCUUCUAGUUGAGCCUGCGGUCUAUCAGCUUGUUGGUGAGGUAAUGGCUCACCAAGGCAGCGACGGAUAGCCGGUCUGAGAGGAUGAUCGGCCACACUGGCACUGAGACACGGGCCAGACUCCUACGGGAGGCAGCAGUUAAGAAUCUUGCGCAAUGGGGGAAACCCUGACGCAGCGACGCCGCGUGAA